UUGUAGGCUGCAACUCGCCUACAUGAAGUCGGAAUUGCUAGUAAUCGCGGAUCAGCAUGCCGCGGUGAAUACGUUCCCGGGCCUUGUACACACCGCCCGUCACACCAUGGGAGUCGGUAACACCCGAAGCCUGUAGUCUAACCGCAAGGAGGACGCAGUCGAAGGUGGGAUUGAUGACUGGGGUGAAGUCGUAACAAGGUACC
rnacentral:rRNA from 1 species